rnacentral:rRNA from 1 species
CCAGACUCCUACGGGAGGCAGCAGUGGGGAAUAUUGCACAAUGGGGGAAACCCUGAUGCAGCGACGCCGCGUGAGUGAAGAAGUAUUUCGGUAUGUAAAGCUCUAUCAGCAGGGAAGAAAAUGACGGUACCUGACUAAGAAGCCCCGGCUGACUACGUGCCAGCAGCCGCGGUAAUACGUAGGGGGCAAGCGUUAUCCGGAUUUACUGGGUGUAAAGGGAGCGUAGACGGCAUGGCAAGUCAGAUGUGAAAGCCCGGGGCUCAACCCCGGGACUGCAUUUGAAACUGUCAGGCUGGAGUGCAGGAGAGGUAAGUGGAAUUCCUAGUGUAGCGGUGAAAUGCGUAGAUAUUAGGAGGAACACCAGUGGCGAAGGCGGCUUGCUGGACUGUAACUGACGUUGAGGCUCGAAAGCGUGGGGAGCAAACAGGAUUAGAUCCCCCUGUA